GACGAACGCUGGCGGCGUGCUUAACACAUGCAAGUCGAGCGGAGCGGUGAACGGGUGAGUAACGCGUGAGUAACUGCCCCCCUCUCUGGGAUAACAGUUGGAAACGGCUGCUAAUACCGGAUAGUGGGGGAUGACUCGCGUCCUAUCAGCUUGUUGGUGGGGUAGUGGACUACCAAGGCGACGACGGGUAGCAGGCCUGUGAGGGCGAGCGGCCACAUUGGGCUGAGAUACAGCCCGAACUCCUACGGGAGGCAGCAGUGGGGAAUGUUGCACAAUGGGGGAAGCGCUGAUGCAGCAACGCGCGUGCUGUAUGACGGCCUUCGGGUUGUAAUCCGCUUUCAGCCAUGACGCGGUAGUGGCAGAAGAAGCACCGGCUAACUACGUGCCAGCAGCCGCGGUAAUUC
rnacentral:rRNA from 1 species